GUUCCAUGUUCUAUGCUCCGUUCACCACAGCAUAAGAACACAGUUUGUUGCACAUCCAGUCAGUCAGUCAGUUUCAAACCUCGCAUCUACACACUGAAGUUUUCCGGACCUACACUUGCAGAAAGCAACCAUGUAAUGCCUCAGGAGUCUGUAGAGGGGACGAAGACGCAUUCUGCUGCACUUAACAGAGCUCAAGACCAACGGGACGCCAUCAGGACGGCAUCAGGACGCCACGUCAUCGGGACGGCAUCAGGACACCACGUCAUCGGGACGCCAUCAGGACGCCGCAUCAACCCCUCAGGAGCAAAUCCAGAUCUACUCAUGAAACCCACACACACCCACACACACAGAUGUACUCACAGACACCCUUACAUUUGGGUCUAAACUAAGACACACACUAAACUUU
ensembl:lncRNA